rnacentral:ncRNA from 1 species
GACGACCGGCCGGACACCCAGGUGACCGGCCCACAAGUGGAGGCUCCGAUCUCCCACCCGAACCGACCUCAGGUCGGCGGGUCAAUGGUCCGGCUGCGCCCCGCGGAGAUUUCGCGGCGGUGCUCCUGGUUCAGUUCCGGAGCCCCGCCUGUGUCCCGUCCGGGGCGUUUUGC